UACGGAGGGUGCAAGCGUUGUCCGGAUUUAUUGGGUUUAAAGGGUGCGUAGGCGGCCCUGUAAGUCAGCGGUGAAAGCCUCCAGCUCAACUGGAGAACUGCCAUUGAUACUGCAGGGCUUGAGUACAGACGAGGUUGGCGGAAUUGAUUGUGUAGCGGUGAAAUGCAUAGAUACAAUCAAGAACUCCGAUUGCGUAGGCAGCUAACUAGGCUGUAACUGACGCUGAGGCACGAAAGCGUGGGGAGCGAACAGG
rnacentral:rRNA from 1 species